GAGUUUGAUCAUGGCUCAGAACGAACGCUGGCGGCAUGCCUAACACAUGCAAGUCGAACGAGACCUUCGGGUCUAGUGGCGCACGGGUGCGUAACGCGUGGGAACCUGCCUUUAGGUUCGGAAUAACUCAGAGAAAUUUGAGCUAAUACCGGAUAAUGUCUUCGGACCAAAGAUUUAUCGCCUUUAGAUGGGCCCGCGUUGGAUUAGCUAGUUGGUGGGGUAAAGGCCUACCAAGGCGACGAUCCAUAGCUGGUCUGAGAGGAUGAUCAGCCACACUGGGACUGAGACACGGCCCAGACUCCUACGGGAGGCAGCAGUGGGGAAUAUUGGGACAAUGGGCGAAAGCCUGAUCCAGCAAUGCCGCGUGAGUGAUGAAGGCCUUAGGGUUGUAAAGCUCUUUUACCCGAGAUGAUAAUGACAGUAUCGGGAGAAUAAGCUCCGGCUAACUCCGUG
rnacentral:rRNA from 1 species